CACCCCGGUCUCCAUGGGGCGGAAGCCCAGUAAGGGAGGCAGAAGCAGGCCCAGGGCCACAGUCAUGGGGUCGGGGCAUCUUCCCCACUCUGAGGAACUGUGGGUGCCCAUUUCAAAUUUGCUUCUCCCUGAGACUGCAGGCUCCAAGGGCAGCCACGGUCCUGUCCACUGCUAUCUCCACAGCACCCAGUACAACGUCUCGGGCACACAUCGGUCAUUAAACAUGUGUUGAAUGAAACAAGCUAUCCCUCAUGGAAGUCCUGCAAAACGGAUCUUAUUCUCUCCAGAGAGACUCAGACAGGUAAUGUGCCAGAAACCACAUAGGUGCUGAGGACUCGAGUUCUGGGCUGUUAGACUCUGAAGAGUUGCUCCUUCCACUGCUCUACAUGUCCUCGGCCAAAGGCAGGCUUCAGAUUUCACAGGCUCCUCUGGGACUCUCAGCUCAUCUCUGACCUUCUUGGGGGGGAGGAGCACCCGUGAAGAACUCCACAGGGGGCAGUGGGGAGGCAGGGGCGUACCCAGGAGUCAUCUCACCUCUAGGAACUCUGAGCCUAUCAUCCGCCAGCUGGUGGGCUGGUUCUUCAUCUGUGGCUUUUCUUCCCUCCUCACCCAACCAUCUGGACCCAGGCAGCAUCCAAAGGGCAGGAGUGUGCAGAGCAGCACAAGUCCAUCCCACCAGACAGCACUCCCCCUGCUACCUCUUCACUGUGCAGUCCAGCCAGCUUCUCUCGGCUCUAAAUCUUUGUUCAGGCUGUCUUGCUGCCUGAUGUACUGCUCCCUUCCUCUUCACUUGGCUAACCCUAACUAGAUCCUCGUGUGGGCCUUGCAGCCAUCUACAGUACCCUGGUCCCCUAAGGAGCCUUCCUGCGAGCGCGCAAGGCUCACACUGUAUUUCCCCCCAGCUGCUGAUGAGGCUGUGACUCUUUAAGGCAGCACCAGCGUCUUAGCUAUUUGAUUGUCCUGGGCCCAGUGCAUGGUCUGGAACAAAGGAAGAGUCUAAAAAAUGUUCCUGCACACACACAAAAAAGUUUCCCUUGAGUCAGAGCCAUCCGGUAACGGAAUGGGCCACCCUGGAAGGCAGUGAGUGAGCUUUCUGCCUCUGGGGGGUGUCACAGGAGGCUGGAUGGUCAUUUCGUAGGGAGGCUACGGAAGGCUUCCUGUCCCGUGCAGGAGGCUGCACUAAGGGAGCUCUGGGACUCCCUAUAAGAAUUAUCUCCAACCAAACUCAGCUGCCUGGGACAUAACGAAGGCUGUAGCCAGACUCCGGGCCCUGCUGAACCCUAGCAACCAGACUGGUUCUAUCCAUUCAUCCUGGCUCCACUAUUAACCUUCUGUUGCUUUGUGAUGAUGAAUUUGUUCAGAUUCCACAUGGCCUAGGCACAUCCUGUUCCCUCUCUGGUCCUCUUCCCUCUCUGGUCCUCAGUUUUCCCAGCUAGAAGAUGGGGGUGAGAGGCUGGGUUGGGUUUUUAUUUAAAGAGAUACUUUCUAUAAAAACUCUAGGAACCUUCUGGUUGGUGUCUCGAGACCGUGUGGCUUGGUAAGGCUAAAACUAUGGAGAAACAGCAGGCUCUUAAAUUAGGCAGGUAACAUCCCAUCCAGUAACUCAAAGGUUAAGCAGUCCCACGAGCCACUGGAGCAGUAAAGGGGUCUAAUCACGAAGGCGGGGGAUAUACAGCCACCGCAGACACACGGGGCUGGAUGCCUGUGGGAUGAGCCUGCCUGGUGUAUGGAAAAGGCCUCAAUCUGAAACCUGGCUCUAGCAUCUCCUGGUUGGGUGGCCUCAGAAAGGGUCCUUGAACGCUCUGAGCCUGCUCUCCAGGCCUCAGCCGAUGAUCCUCUCUACUGCAGAGGCUGUUCUCGUAUGACAAGCACCGAGGGUCAGGCCCAAAGCAGGUGUUCAAAGAGGCCACCCCUUGCCUGUAAGGAGCUCUCUCCAACCUCUGUACCCUCUGACUGGCAAAUCCAGCAGAGAACAAGCCUGCCACACGGCCACCCCAAAGCCAGUGACCACCAGGCGAAGCCCUGUUCUAAGGGUAAAGUACCUUCCUAUCCUGGAGAUGGAGGAGAGCCCUGCAGCGCCUACCUGUUCUAGCGACCCAAGCAGGUAGCAAAGGGACAGCCUGGAGUUGCCCUUAGCCCCAGCCCCGUUGCCCUAUAAAGAUGAACCCCAGGGAGAAAAAGGAAGGAGGGUCCUGGACUGCCCUGUCACUCUGAAAUCUGUUCUUAAAAUAAUCUAGGAGGAGUUGUAGGUAACCUUUCAGUCAAUGGUGCAAAAUCCCCUCAAAGUAGAAGAUAACCCAUUUCUUUCAGAGCAGCAAUUGCACUUCUCACUGCUAGACCUUUUCUUGCCAUCCAAGUCGAGGAGGGAUGGGGCACAGGGUUUUGGCCCCACCCCGCCACUCACUGAGGCAGCCAGCAGCUCGUGGGCCUCCUGGGCCUCACCUGUGCAACGGGGACACACACACCCGACCUGACAGGUGUCUCUCACCCAUCCUCUUGCACCCUCCCUCACCGCCCACUCUGUGAGUGCUCCUGCUUAUUGGUGACAACGGACUGAGGCUGCAGGAUAUGGCAAGGGGUUCUGAGAUGGACAGGCCCGGGAGGAGCGCCCCGGCAAAGAGGAGAUAAGCCACGAAGAGUGAGGUCUGAAGGACUGAGGGGAGCAAAAGGAGUGGCUGAGGCUGCGGACGGAAGGCCUGAAUGCCGCCCAGGACAGUGGGUGGAGGGAGAAUUCUAUCAACUACCGACCAGUGAACCUGAGAUCGAGUCCAGGCGAGGUUGUAAAAUGGACGAGGUAAGAAUGAUUUCCAAGGACUUACCAAGGGAAGCAGCAGUGUCCAGGAGACGGUAGGGGUUGACCAAAGAUUAAGACACGCCAAGACAACCACACCUGAGUUCUGCUGCAGGACAACGAGUCUACGAUACACCAAGCAUCGUACAAACGUUAUCGCACGUGCAAGCUCAAAUGAUCCCACGUCAUUUAUGCCGAACCCACUGUGCACUUACUAUGUGCGGCCCCUGGACAGCGCUCGUCACACCCAUUUGCUCAUUUCCUCCUCAUAAGAAUUGUAAUGGCUGGUGAUGUCACUGACCCUGCUCUACAGAUGAGGAAACGAAGGCCCAGAAAGCUAAGUAACAAAUGAGACCACGGAAAAGCCAGGGUUCAAAACCCCAGCACUUCUGUCCCGCGCAGGCUGUCAAUCAGCAAGCUGGCUACGUGGCAGGCAUUAAGAUACCCAUCCUCCAGAAGAGAAGACAGAGGCUGAGAAGGGCUCAUUUACUUGAAGUGGCACACGUACUGACCCAGAGAGCCGAGAUUCAAACCCCAGUGACGUCUGUUGCCGAAGCCCGGCGGCCUCCAGCACAGGGGAAAGCCAGCAGGAGGCACUUGGCUGACAUUAGCUGCCUUUUCAAAGGCACCAUCAGAAACCUGUGCUUCAAGAAUCCGGCUCGGACCGCAAAGGAUUUUAAAGAUCAAAGCUGGUAUUUUAACGGACCUUGGACAGAACACAAGGCACGAGCCCAGAGGGGAACAGAGGUGAUAGAAACGCAGCUCUGAGGAGCCAAGACAGAUUUGCAGACCACAACGGCUUUCCCCCUCAAAAAUCUCAACCAGCUUGUGAUCUGGCCAACAGGGAUAUUAGCUCUUCUUUUUGCUUCUCCGAACUCAAAUGGGGAUAAUCACCCUUACCUGGCCUCGCAGUACAGCCGUCGCCAGUGUCUGAUGACAUAAAAAUAUCAAGGUGCUUUGAAACUGUCAAGUGUCACACGCGUGUGAAUUACUGCUCUUGCGCUCAUCGCCCAUGCCUCUUCCUGGUCCGAAUCCAUCAUUUCCACCUACGUUCCCUGACAAAGCACACCCAAAAUCUAAAACCAGUAUGUGGCUCCCUUCUGCAGUUACAGCACUUGCUUUGUCCUGCCUGGAGUGGUGCUGGGUACCGUGUGUGCCCCCACUGGCCUGGGUGCGCACCUCGAAGGCAGCGAUUGUGUCCCCCUCUCUAUAUCCCUCACAGAGUCCUUUCUGGCGUCAGCUGAACUAAAAUCACUUGAAUUGCACCAAAAUGAGCUUCACUGAGAGGCACUUGUGCUAACACUGAGGACAAUAUCUAAGCUUUUGUCCUUGACCUCUGAUACAAGGGACGGGGCCCAGGAGAAACCGAGAGAGACCCCGGAGUCCCCCUUGUACACCCAAGCUCCCCCUGGCAACUGGCUGCCCACGGUGUGCUUCCCGCCAGGCCCUUGGAAUUGCCAGUCGGCCAAGCCCCCAUUAAGCGAACUCUAAGGCUCUGGCUUUAAAAACGGGACCGUCUUGUUUCUAUAUUCCUAGCACCUAACCCAGUCCUGGCACCAAGGAGGCGUAAAUAUUUGCCGAAUGAAUGAAAAUAAUGGACGUAUGCACAAAUGAAUCUGUACUUUAGCAGCUGGAAUAUCCACAUGUCUUCUGAGUCCUCAGCACUUGCUUCCUUGGCGGGAGGGGGGGGGCAAAAGAGGGCACCAAAGGAGAAAGAGCCUGGCAUUUAUUAAACAUAAUGUGCUGGUCACAUGG